GCGGGCGUGGUGUAGUGGUUCACUGCUAUCGGCAAUGACCAAAUUCUCAGGCGUAAACAGCAGAACCGGGUCCGACUCCCGGCACCCGCA